GAUUGACACUGGAGGGGAAAGACCUAUACCUUUUUCAGAACAAUUAUCUUGAGUUUUGAGUAUAGAUAUGGCCUCAAAAUCAUUUUCUCAAAACAAUUUAAAUGGAAACAGCCUCUUUCUCUGUCUCACGACUCAUUCUCCACAAACAAUAAUCAUGCUAAAGCACCUAUCGCUAUAGCACAGUAAAACAGCGGAAGAUGCCAAAGGAAGAUGUCUUCAAGGAAAAGAAGGGAAGGAAUGUGAUGGAGGAAACCUGUCAAUUGAGAAGGGAAUGCUUUAGGGUAAGUGGACAGAGAAAAAGGAUCUACUAAUUCAGGUCUCACUGCCAUACCCAGCUGGAGG
rnacentral:lncRNA from 1 species